rnacentral:rRNA from 1 species
AUUGAACGCUGGCGGCAGGCCUAACACAUGCAAGUCGAACGAGUGGCGGACGGGUGAGUAAUGUCUGGGAAACUGCCUGAUGGAGGGGGAUAACUACUGGAAACGGUAGCUAAUACCGCAUACCAUCAGAUGUGCCCAGAUGGGAUUAGCUAGUUGGUGGGGUAAUGGCUCACCAAGGCGACGAUCCCUAGCUGGUCUGAGAGGAUGACCAGCCAAACUGGAACUGAGACACGGUCCAGACUCCUACGGGAGGCAGCAGUGGGGAAUAUUGAACAAGGGGCGUAAGCCUGAUGCAGCCAUGCCGCGUGUGGGAAGAAGGCUUUCGGGUUGUAAAGCACUUUCAGCGAGGAGGCGUUACUCGCAGAAGAAGCACCGGCUAACUCCGUGCCAGCAGCCGCGGUAAUUC